rnacentral:rRNA from 1 species
UAGCCGGGGAACGUCGGGAGAGCGCUUCGAUAUCAGCAAUGGUUGAAGAGUGCUCGAACUUCCUUAAAUUGUAGUAUUUAGAAGAAGGAGAAGUCGUAACAAGGUUUCCGUAGGUGAACCUGCGGAAGGAUCAUUA